CCUACGGGGUGCAGCAGUGAGGAAUAUUUGUCAAUGGCCGAAAGGCUGAACCAGCCAUGCCGCGUGAAGGUCAGUGCCCUAUGGGCGUUAAACUUCUUUUGUGCGGGAGCAAUAAUGGUCACGUGUGGCCAGACGAGAGUACCGUACGAAUAAGCAUCGGCUAACUCCGUGCCAGCAGCCGCGGUAAUACGGGGGAUGCAAGCGUUAUCCGGAUUUAUUGGGUUUAAAGGGUGCGUAGGCUGGGAGGUAAGUCAGCGGGGAAAUGCCCCCGGUGAACGGGGUGAAGUGCAAUUGAUACUGCCUUGCUGGAAUGCGGAUGGGGUGGGAGGAAUGUGUGGUGUAGCGGUGAAAUGCAUAGAUAUCACACAGAACACCGAUUGCGAAGGCAUCUCACGAAUCCGCGAUUGACGCUGAUGCACGAAAGCGUGGGUAUCAAACAGGAUUAGAUACCCUGGUAGUC
rnacentral:rRNA from 1 species